rnacentral:rRNA from 1 species
GAUGAACGCUGGCGGCGUGCCUAAUACAUGCAAGUCGAGCGAACAGACGAGGAGCUUGCUCCUCUGACGUUAGCGGCGGACGGGUGAGUAACACGUGGAUAACCUACCUAUAAGACUGGGAUAACUUCGGGAAACCGGAGCUAAUACCGGAUAAUAUAUUGAACCGCAUGGUUCAAUAAUGAAAGACGGUUUUGCUGUCACUUAUAGAUGGAUCCGCGCCGCAUUAGCUAGUUGGUAAGGUAACGGCUUACCAAGGCAACGAUGCGUAGCCGACCUGAGAGGGUGAUCGGCCACACUGGAACUGAGACACGGUCCAGACUCCUACGGGAGGCAGCAGUAGGGAAGCUUCCGCAAUGGGCGAAAGCUUGACGGAGCAACGCCGCGUGAGUGAUGAGGGUCUUCGGAUCAUAAAACUCUGUUAUUAGGGAAGAACAAAUGUGUAAGUAACUAUGCACGUCUUGACGGUACCUAAUCAGAAAGCCACGGCUAACUACGUG